UGGUGAAUUUUGAAUUUGUUUUUUGGUCAG
rnacentral:piRNA from 1 species